CCAAAUUGUCUGGUUAAGGGUGUGUGGGGAGAGUGUGGGGCAUCAGGAAGGUGGAGGGGAGUUUUCUACAGUGUCUCAAAUACCAAAAAUAUCAAAGAAAACUGAAGCCAAAGCAUCACCACAACGGAAUUCUGAGGGGGUUAUUUUGGGCAUCAAGUUAAUUUAUUUUUUCGACACCCAGAAACUCUGGGAUUCAAUUCGACAUCAAGAUAUCUUCUGUUCCAGAAACUGUUUUGGAUUAAGUCAUAGACGCAGUACCUUCAGGAUCAACUGACUUUAUGGGGUGCCUCCAUUCUUGAAGCUCAACAGCAGAUAUAAAACUUUUCUCCAAAUCUUUGUCAUUACACGCCAAGACCACACCAGAUCAGGAACUAUAAAUAUGAAUUUAGUUGAUUCAUCUCUACAAACAGUUUGGCCAUGAAGCCCAUAACAUCUAAUAUUCAGUUUUCCAUCAAGUAUGACGAAGUUAAUUGUCUAUUGCAUGUGUUAAGUAAAUGGCAAAUGUAUGUAAAUUCUGAGGGUUGACAGAGGUUGAGAUUAGAAGGUUUGACAUCCUGUACUGAACAUAGAGUCUAUAAAGGAGUGAUGAUUGGUCAAUAUUAGGAAAUUCAGAAAGCAAGAAGUUUGGGUAAAUAUAAAUGUGAUUUAAGGACAGAGACUACAAGAGAGUAAUGAAAUCACAAACACAAAAAUAGUGUUUGGAUCCAUUCCAUACCACAACGUUUGUUUGUUUAGCAUUUUAAUUAACCCAAAUUUUAAUUAUAAAUUACGGCAUUUCAAUGGUCUCAAACUCAUUCAGCAAUCUUUAAAGUGAGACUGGAAUUUAUAUUAUAAUAAAUCUUUCCUGGUGAGCACAAACUAUCUUUUCAAAAAAUAAAAAGAGAGACGCAGGAGAAGUUUGGAGAAGGAAACAAGUCACAGCAGUGAAGUGCCCUUGUCCCUCCCUGUCUCUGAAGGGCACUCCAGAUAACAAGUGGUUCACCUUAAAUACCAUGUUACCUCAUGUUUCACACAUCAAUUCAUUUCUUCCUUCGAAGCUAAAUCCCAGGUUCUCCCUCACGAUGGGAGGAAAAAGCUCAAGAAUGCUACAAGAAAUAAAUAAUAAACAAUUAUAAUACAAUAUUAAUGUUAAAAUGUUAUUUUGUCUUAGGUUGAACAUGCUGCCACCACCAACUUCCCUAAGCAUCUGCCACAUGAAUUAGCCUUCUAUACGAGACAAAUUACUUCUAUUCCUCCUAUUCAACAGCCUGCACUUCUGCCUAGUUUCCACAACAGCCUUUGUCUUUUUAAACGUCUUUACAUAAUGUUUUGAGCAAGGGCCAUUGUUCCCUGGACUUACACUCUUAUUUGCAACUCCAGGAAUCAAUGAAUUCAGGGAAGAGACUUAUUUUAUGCUAAGCUCAAAAUGUUUUCUUUACGUUCUUGCUGAAAUCGUGUCAUGCAAAUUUUCAUUCAGCCCUCAAACAUGUGGAGACUUACUUAAAACAGAGACUUUCUUCAGACCUGCUGGAACUCCGACCUCUCAUCUUUUACCUGGAAAAGAAGUCAUCAUGCCCCACGCAAAACCCCAGGAUCACCCUGUGAUGAUGAUGAUGAUGAUACCACUUACUCCUGUGUUACUGUCCUUAUAUUAUGUUUUAUAUCACUGUAUUCAUGUCAUAUAAAUGGAGAUCAUAAUAAUCCAUGCAUAAAGUGACUCAUGCUGAUAAAGGAUCAGCGCCCUCAUUGUCUAUAUAACAUUGGGAAAUGAAAGCCAAAAACUGAUCCCAGUUAGAACAGUCUCUUAAUUUCUAUACCUAUGAUUUCAGACGUAUGCGCCUCUGUAGAAUGUGUUGUAAGGCACCGAUACAGAUGAAAUGCCCUAAAAAUACUGGUUUUAUUUCGAAAAGGUAAACGUAAACCGUGUCGGCAUGUAAAACUGUGUGUAGUGUGGAUUAUGUCUGUGAAAUGUGUGAAAGGUCGAAGGGUUUUUAAAAAACAACAACUACAUCAUAACUAAUGCUUUAGACAUUAAUGUUGAUCCACCACAGAUGGAACAGGUUGGGCAAGGACAAGUGAAACCAACUGUGUUUUUGAAUGUCUAAUCAAGUUUAGUCGUUCUUCAUGUAGCCUACAAGCCUGUUCAGACAGUGGUGCUGGGAAAUUUGUACCGUAUUUAAAAACACAAACAUAAAAAAAACAACAUUUAAGUGAUUGAACUAUUGCACUUGUAGGAAUUUUUCAUGUCACCAUCCUUUAGAACACAUAUUCCUAACAGGACAUACCUCAUGUCCUGCACAUUUUAGUGUCUUCCCUGGUCCCAUCAUAUCUGGUUCAACUAGUCAUCUAAUAAAGAGCUCUAAGCUGACAUGGGCAAGCAGGGAAAGCAUAAAAUUGUGUAGGACAAGGGGUUCCUCAGGACCAGGGCUGGUUGGUUCACCAAGAAACAGUGCCAUGCUGCCCUCUAGAGGGUUUGAGAGCAAUGAAAAGUCUAUGUUUUGACCAGCACUAUUUAAGAAUACUUAAAAGUAGUUACCGGUUAAUCACCACCCCAGAUGCAACAUAUAUGAUAAGACAUUAAGCCACUGCUGAUGUCUGAUAUCAGAGGAACCUAUUUGAUUUUGAACUAUUUGAUCAAUAAACACGAGUGGGCAAAUCAAUAGAGAACACGGUCUGGCAACUGAGAGUUAAGGGACACCGACAAGCAAGCUGAAAACCAGACCAAGAAACACAGAAGGUUUCAGAUACAUAAAGUUUUACAGUCCUUAAGAACUAAUUUAUGUAGUUACUCUAAAAUGUAAUGGCCAUUUACUGUUGAGAUGUCUAUUCUAGCAACUAUUAAUUAAAUUUCAGGCUUUAACAGUUUUAUUCUAUUCAAGUCCUUGUCUUAUGUAGCUUGUCUUUAAAUGUCUGAGAUUAGAUUGGUCUUCAUGUGGUCAAAUAGGGGUCCUGGAGGAAAAAAAUGGCCACUGUUCUUGUCAGUGAAAAUGUCUUUGUGUUUACUGAAAAUCCAUUUUUGAAGUUCUUUUUUUUCCCCCCCUCUUUCUUGCUGUUUUGGGAUGUUACAUGUUUAACCAGUCUUCAAUAGACACCUGGAAAGGGAGGUUCUGAUUGUAGUGCUUGUUUAAUAAACAGUUGCUGACUUUU